UUUGGUGAAAACAACAAUUGCUACACGACAGAGAUUGAGAAUAGGUUGUUGGAAGGGAAUUGGGUUGUCUUCAUUGGGGGUGGUGAAGGAAAGUGGUGAAGCCAACAGCAGAGAGGGCAGAAUCGAGAUGAGACACAAAUUUCCUUUGGAUUUCUUCUCCAUUAAAGUUUAUCACCACAUCGUACAUCCGUGGCAGUUUGGUUGAUGAAGAAGCCAAUUCCAUGGGAGGAAUUAAUGAAGUCAUCAACUGUUAGAAGAAGAGACGAAGUGAAAGAUACGAUCUAUAGAUAUAAAAUCAUUUAUAGUACUUUUAUGUUAACAAUUUUCUUAAAUUACAAUUUGGAAAAAAGAAAUAUCUUUUCAUUGAAAAAUUAAUUUUAGAAAUUUAUUAUGACGCAUCAUUGUACCUGAUAUUUUACUUAAUUAUCAAAAUAAUAUUUUAAUUUUUUUGAAUAGACUAAGAAGCACGUUAACACCGUCGCUGAACUUUUCUACUUUAGCCGGUGAAGAAAUUAGACCAACGCCCACUUCAAUCAUAAAAAUAUAUAUUAGACUAAUAAUUACGAAAGUUUGUCUAGUUUUUUUAAAAUUACAUAUUAACUCUUCUUUCAUUUUAAAACAUACAUCAAGUGUCUUUUUAUUUUAUGCAAAUGUCCCUUAAAGUUUUAAAAGCUUAUAACAUUACACAUAUAUUUCUAAAAGAGGUUAAUAUAGGUAUAAAUACAUUAUUUCAAUGUCAUUUUGUUAAAAUUAUUAAACAAUUUUUUUUAUUUAUAUUGAUUUUGAAUUUGUAAGACCCCACUUAAAAAAAAAAAAACUCGUCAGUCCCAUUUUUUCUCUUCUUCUCCUUUAUCUUUUAGAGUGGUGUCCUAUCACCACUAGCACGUCUCAAUGAGAGAGACCUCGGUCUAUCGAUCCUCUUCCAAAUCUUCUGAUGUUGUAUGUUUAGGUAGGGAUCCAGUCUUAGGUGAUUAUUUUUUCUUAUACUCGUGUUUAAUAACCAAUGUCUGUUGGGUAUGAAGUCAGGACCAAUUGAGUUGGGUUGGGCUGACUAGACACAUGUUUAGUGAGUGGGCUUAAUUAUUGUGUCCCUUUAUUAUCUCUAUUUAAAGACAUCAUUGUGCUUGUAAUUUGGUACGCAACACGAAAAAAAUAAAAUCUAAUAUUUGCUCGUGUGGAUGUAUGUUGCAGUUGGCGACCGAACCGCGUUAAAUCUUGUGUUGUUUAUUUUCGGCAGUUGAUUCGUGAUUGUGUGUGUUGUUUCCGCGUGCGUUUUUACUAUCAACUGGUAUCAAGAGCUUUGGUUCGUUCACACACUAGAGAUCUGAUCAGCAGAAAUUAAUCGACGAGACGUGAAAAUUGCGACUGCAGUAGUGUUCCAAAGUUAGGGUUUCGCAGAGGCGGCAACAGCAUCCCAAAGCUAAGGUUUUGCAGGGGUUGCAGCAGCGUCCCAAGGCUUAGGGUUUCACAGCGGUGCAAGGAGCAGUGGGGACUGCGACCAGGUCUGUUGGUGAGUGAUUUUGGGUGGUGCAAUUUUUGUUCUUGAUUUAAAAAAAAAAAGAUUGCCAAGAUCAAAAAUCAGUUGUACCGAGUAUCUCGUCUAGUCAUUUGAGAUGACAGAAGAAGGGAGGUUUCGAAUUGAAAAAUUCGAUGGUAUAGAUUUCAGUUGGUGGAAAAUGCAAAUUGAGGAUUUGCUAGUUCAAAAAGAUUUGGACGUGGCUUUGGAUGACAAGCCAGAAAAGAUGUCUAAUGCAGAGUGGGCAGGUUUGGAUCGGAAAGUUAUGUCCGUUAUCCGACUCUCUUUGAGUAAGAAUGUUGCGUUCAACAUUUUGAAGGAGAAGACAGCGAAAGGUAUCAUGGAAGCAUUGUCCAACAUGUACGAGAAGCCAUCUGCUGCAAACAAGGUGUUUCUGAUUAGUGAAUUGGUAAACACAAGGAUGAAGGAAGACAGUUCAGUUAUUAAGCACAUCAAUAAAACAAAUUCGAUCUUAGCCAGACUUAUGUCAGUGGGCAUUAAGUUCGAUGAUGAAGUUCAAGCUUUACUACUGUUAUCGUCUUUGCAUGACAGUUGGUCCGGAACGGUUACAACAGUUACCAGUUCAGCGGGAUCCGAUGGAUUCACUUUUGAGAAGAUUCGUGAUCUCAUUCUUGGCGAGGAUGUCCGAAGAAGGAGUUCUGGAGAAUUAUCUAGUGAAUCGCUAUAUGUCAUGAGAGGUAAGAGAAAUAUCAGAGAUAGUGGGAGCAAGAACAAAGGAAGGAGUUAGUCAAAGACUUGGGAUUGCUCAAGUGUAACAUGUUGGAACUGCAAGGAGGUGGGGCAUUUCAGGAAUCAAUGCCCAAAUGAUAAACAAGUCAACAUUGCAGAAGAUUCCACGGACGAGGACCUCUUAGUCUGUUGCACGGAGAGUAGUGUGGAUUCAUGGGUCAUGGAUUCUGGUGCCUCAUUUCAUGCUACCCACAACAGUGAAGCAUUGCAGAAUCUAGUUAUUGGGGACUUUGGAAAGGUAAGACUAGUGGACAAUAGAACUCUUAAGGUAACGGGCAUGGGUGACAUAGUGUUGAAGACACCAGUUGGUUUUUGGACUUUGAAGAAUGUCAGAGUUGUUCCAAGCUUAACGAAAAGUGUGAUUUCUAUUAGACAGUUGGAUGAACAGGGACAUGAAGUGAAGUUCGGAAAUAGCAAUGGAAGGUUGUCAAGGGAAAUCUUGUCAUGGCCUGCGGAAGAAAGAAAGGUUCGUUGUAUAUGGUCGGAUUACCGUCUGAGGGAGUGACCAUCCCAGGUCAGAAGAUAAACAAAAUCCGGUUCACAGAAUCUCGUGGGCAGAAGAGGGUUGUCUUUACAAGAGAGAAACCCAGAGCCACAGGUCAGAUUCAGGAUGAACGAGCAUGGAAAGGUUUAGGUAGACCAGUCGGAGGUACUUGUGGCAGUGGGAGCACGGGUCGUGCUUUAGCUAAAGUUCCUAUACGACAGUGGGUUAGGAGAACCAGUAUUCCAGCGGUUGAAACUUCUCCAGAAAAUUUCUUGUUGAAUAUGGAAAGUGUUUGUUCUCAGGUUGUUCCAGGAUCUGACAGUUCCUGUAAGUGGGAGUCAGUAGGAAUAGAGAACAGGUAUAUGGAGAGUGUUUGUUCUUAGGUUUUUUCAGGAUCCGACAGUUCCUGUAAGUGGGAGUCGGUAGGAACAGAGAACAGGUCAGUGACUGACGUGUUGAAACUCAGGGGAGUUUUAACGAAGUCUUCAAAAUGAUUAAGAAGGCUGGUGGCAACUAGAGGUAGAACAUUGAGUUUCGUCGACAGAUUACAGAAGUACAUGUACACAGUUGAAGCGUAGGUGAACAUUGUUCCGUGGCUUCAAGUGGGAGAUUGUUGGGUAUGAAGUCAGGACCAAUUGGGUUGGGCUGACUAGACACAUGUUUAGUGAGUGGGCUUAAUUAUUUUGUCCCUUUAUUAUCUCUAUUUAAAGACAUCAUUGUGCUUGUAAUUUGGUACGCAACACGAAAGAAAUAAAAUCUAAUAGUUGCUCGUGUGGAUGUAGGUUGCAGUUGGCGACCGAACCACGUUAAAUCUUGUGUUGUUUAUUUUCUACAGUUGAUUCGUGAUUGUGUGUGUUGUUUCCGCGUGCGUUUUUACUAUCAAUGUCCACAUUCGUUUUUCUUUUGACAAAUUCACCAUUGGUGUGUUACGGGCUUUAAACGUAGCGCCUUCAAAGCUUCACCCGAAUAGUUGGGCGUAUGUCCAAACUUUCAAAUUUUGAGCUUGUCGAUAUGUUUAAAUCCUACGCCCUAAGUUUUUUACAAAUGUAUAGUACCUGGCCAGGUAAUCGAGUAGGGUGGCUGUCCUUGAUUUUCCAGCCGAGGUCAUGCUUGUUGGCUCUCUUUACUUCUUCGUAUAAGAAUUUUAAAGGGAGUUUAUUUAAAGUUGUGCCUGGGAGGAGGAGGGUCACCAUUUUUUUACAACAACAACUCUCCUCGGUUCCUUUCUACUGGACUCGCGAACUGGCAUGCUUCCCCGAAAUAUUCCUACUCGGUGGCUACUAUGGGUUUUCUUGUCGCCUACUCAGCUUCAAGACAUUGAGGGCAUGCUUUCAUUUUUAUCUGUACUUUUGUCUUUGUUUUUGAUGUUUUGUUUGGCUUGUGCCAUUUUCAGCUAUCAUGGCUUCCGUGAUGCCUGAAGAGUGAAAGAAAUUUUACAAGGAACUGUUGAAACAAAGACAAGUAGAGGCUGGGAAGGCUCCGCUUGUUCAGGCCAAGGUCGUAGAGCCGCUGCAAAGAGUUCCAGCUAGCGAGACUCUCCCUCCCAUUUUUUUUUGAUCAGCAAUGAAUAAAUAAAAUAAAAGGGAUACUUCAGGGGUAUCCCAACCCAUAUACAGAAACCAGAAGUGGACUUCUUAUAUCAUCCACAAAUCACAAAAGAAACUCUCCUUUAUGGUUGGAGCAUAACAACCUUAAAGUAAGAAAACCAUACCCAAAAAAUAACCAACAACCUCAAAGCAACAUUCAACUAUACCGAUACACCCAGAACCGAGGCCACCUACAUUCACCUUGCCACGCGACGAGUUACCCAUGCACGUUGCAAAACGUAGGCGACCACCAACUACGCACAUAUGGAGAACGCCGCUUCCUCGACUGGCGAUCAUGUUGACCUUUGCAUAACUUCGGCGACCACCGACUACACACAUAUAGAACGUCGCUACCGAUCUUGUUAGCCCAAGGAGAACGCCGCUUCAUCAACCGGCGAUCAUGUUGACCCCUUGCAUAGCUUCGCUGACCACCAACUACGCACGCAUGGAGAUCGCCGUUUCAUCAACCGGCGAUCAUGUUGAUCUUGUAUAACUUCGACGACCACCGACUACACACAUAUGGGGAACGCCGUUUCACCGAUCGGCGAUCAUAUUGACCAAAGGAGAACGCCGCUUCAACAACCGGCGAUCAAGUUGACCUUUGCAUACCUUCGACUAUCUCCGACUACGCGCACCUAGAGAUCGUCGUUUCAUCGACCGACGAUCAAGUUGACGACCACCGACUACACACAAUUGGGGAACGCCGUUUCAUCGAUCGGCGAUCAUGUUGACUAUGGAGAACGUCGCUUCAGCGACCGGCGUUCAUGUUAACCUUUGCAUACCUUCAACGACCACCGACUACACAGCGACCGACGAUCUCCAAGACCUGCGAACAGGCAUUCAAGGUACCAAGAGUCACAGCAGUCGACCUCUCUCCCUCCCAUUGAUCCAAGUUCAAAGAAAGCUCGUCGGGAGAGGGAGUACAAGAAGUCGUCUUGCAUCCAUCUGGACAAGUCGUCUUCGGGAAAGUCCCAUAAAAGACAACAUGUUGAGGCUGGGUCGAGAUAUGCAUCUUGGCGAGAAGGUCUCGAUCCCACUCGACUCGACAGAGAGGGAGUGCUUUAUGUCGGCGACAACUUCUGAGUUGGUCGAGUCUUUUAUGGAACGAAGUGCCCGAGCUUUCGUUAUCGGCAAGCAAAUAGGCCCAAUACUCAAAGAGAAGGAUGGGGCAGAUGUGGAAGGCCUUAAGACUUAACUGGUGGAGUCUGCUUCCUCCCUUCAAUAUGCUCUAGACGCCAACAACGCUCUGACUAGCCAAAACAAAGACUUAGUUGCUGAGUUGGCCUGGUUAAAGUUGGAUAACCACGUGUUGUUGUACAAGGAUUUUGACCUUUCUUAUCCAAAAACAUAUGUCGUCAUCAACUUUGACUUAAAUUAUUGAAACUUAAUACCGAUAAAAAAAAACCUUUGAUUUCAAUGCUUGUACAUUGUAGAUAUCAAAAUGCAUCUGCAUGACAAUAUCAUGAAGUUAUAAUUAGGAUUUUAGUAUUAAAAAUAAAUAUAAUAUAAAAAUAAGACUAUAUACAUUACCAAUACAUCCUGCUAGAUCAUUUUUCGAUUGACCUCAAACACAUCUUCUCAUGCGAUAAUUCUCGAAGAUAGCUACUGAAAAUCUCUGUAUUUGGACAUGAUGUCAGACCAAUACUAAGAUCUAUAGUGAGUAGUGACAUAUGAAGUAAAUGGAUAUUAAUUGUUGGCCCUAUCUCUAUUAAAAAAAUAAAGUAAAAAUCAUUAAUAAUAUUAUUACACAAUUUCAUACAAAUAAACGUAUAAAACUUAUGAAAAAUAACAAAUUCAUAAAUAUACAUUCCCUCAUUAUGUCUUUACAGGUUGCAUGUAUAUCAUCAACUACUUUAUCAUCAUCUUUAUUCAUCAUCAUUGAUGUAAAGGUACGGGAGUCACCAAUAUCAACUUUACACAAUUCAUCAUCAAUGAUCUCUACUAGUUUUUUUUUCAUGAAAAAAUAACAUACCAACUUUUUACGUAUGAUUUUUUACAUAAAAAAAUUGAGAUGCUUGAUGUGCCAUGAUAAAUGGCUCACCCAAUACCUAUCUUUCUGAAGCCAACCAAAGUCAUUCUUGAUUCAUUUCUUUUUACACAACUCUUAUUGUCAAUCCACUUGCACUUGAAACUAAACAAAAAACCUAGUAUAACCAACCUCAUAGAUAUGUUCUAUUACACCAUAGUACAACAUUGAUUCAACUAUAGGAUUUUCAUCUUUUGAAGUGAAGAAAUGCAUCGACUCAUCAAUUAUAUUUUUUUUUAUCAACAAAAAAUGAAAUUAAAUUAAGAGGGAUACAAAAGGGGUAUCCCAAUCCUUUUACACAAUCCAAACCACAUUAAGAGAUUACCAAAUAAAAGAAAGAACACCCCAGAAUGAAGAAGAUAUGUGUUAUUUGUUGCAUAAACUAGAUAUGUGUUAUUUGUUGCAUAAACUAAACACCUUGCACCAGCAAACACCCUGCCUCUAUUGAUCUUCUAUAAGAGAUGCAAACUGCAGCUUCAAUACCACCAAAACUCAUGGAAAAAAUUAGAUAAUUCCAUCAUCUCAUUAACAUUCUUCAGCGUCUUCCAGUUGCUCCAUAUUGAACAUUGGUUUCACCCUAUAACAACCAAGUAAAUUGUUAAGGCCCUCAUCAAUCAUAAUCAUUAAUAUUAAUUAAUGACUCGUGGAUGCAAGUAAUUGUAUUAUCUGAAGCAGUUUGGGUAGUAACAUGGGAAGUUUUUAUUGAUUAACUAAAAUUUUGAAUUUGUAAAUAUUCUUUUUACUUAUCCUAGUUGAAGGAUAAACUUAUAGAAGAUAUUCACAUGUAGUACACUUUCAUAUUUUUUACAAGUAACUUUAUGAUUGUGAAGAGAGAGGAAGGUAAAGGGUAAAAGAGUAAAACAGAGUGAGAGUUUGAGAAAAGGGAAAAAGUAUACCAAAUAUUCAUAUCAAAGAUUACAAUUACAAGUGUAUAUAAAGGAGUUAUAACCAAUAGGGGGUUAUAACAUAAAAGACUAAAAGGCAGUGAGAUAUAUUAUCCCUUUACAUCCCCCCUUAAACUUGUGGUGGGGAUGUGUUCCACCAUAAGUUUACUCUUAAAAUUAAAAAAGGAUGCUCCUGAAAUAGGUUUAGUAAAAAUGUCAGCUACUUGAUAUUGACCAGGAAUGUGCACCAGAUGAAUGUGUUUUUGUUGAACUUUCUCUCUGACAAAGUGUAAAUCUAAUUCAAAAUGCUUAGUCUUGGAGUGCAUGACAGGAUUGGCAGCCAUAAGAACAACUCCUAGAUUGUCAGAGUAUAUUGUAGGAGGAGAGAAAACUUGUCGGAGUUCUGUUAGAAGGGAUUGAAUCCAUAACAGCUCGGCAAGAACAACAGCAACACUUCGAUACUCAGCUUCUGUAGUGCUCCGAGAGACCACCUUUUGUUUUUGAGAAGACCAUGAGAUAAGAUUCUUUCCCAAGUAGACNNNNNNNNNNNNNNNNNNNNNNNNNNNNNNNNNNNNNNNNNNNNNNNNNNNNNNNNNNNNNNNNNNNNNNNNNNNNNNNNNNNNNNNNNNNNNNNNNNNNAUGAUGUAGAACUGGGAUGAAGAUGGAGACCAUGCGCAGUGGUGCCAGCAACAUAUCUUAGAAUCCAUUUCACAACUUUCCAAUGGUGUUCUUGAGGAGCAUGCAUGAACUGACAGACUUUGUUCAUAGAAAAAGCAAGUUCAGGACGUGUGAUAGUGAGAUAUUGAAGUGCUCCAACAGUAGAUUUGUAAACAGUGGGAUCUGGAACGGCUGUGCUACCAUCUUUAGUUAACCGCAAAGAAGAAAUCAUUGGUGUGGGCUGGGAUUUGGCAUGAAGCAUAUCAGUUUGCAGCAAAAGAUCAUUUGCAUAUUUUUCCUGAGACAAGAAUAAACUACCAUCUGGUAGUGAUGAGACCUGAACACCAAGAAAAUAAUGCAAUAUUCCAAGAUCUUUUAAAGGAAAAACAAUUUGUAGGGCAGAAAUAAAUUUUUGAAUUACAUUAGAUGAGUUACCAGUAAUAAGAAUGUCAUCAACAUAGACAAGAAUGAGUAAGACAUUACCAUCCCAGAACUUUAUGAACAGAGAAGAAUCACUUUUAGAAGAUUGAAAACCCAUCUGUGUAAGAGUGUGAUGAAGCUUCUGAAACCAGGACCGAGGAGCUUGUUUUAAACCAUAUAUAGCUUUGUUCAGUUUGCAUACAUGUUGAGGAUGCGCAAAUGAAACAAAACCAGGUGGUUGAGCCAUGUAUACAUGUUCUUGCAAGUCUCCAUGCAAAAAAGCAUUGUCAAUGUCUAUUUGAUGUAGUGGCCAAUUGUGGGAAACAGCUAAAACAAGAACAAUUCGAAUUGUUGUCGGUCGAACAACAGGGUUGAAUGUGUCACUAUAAUCCAGACCAGGAACCUGAGUAAAGCCUUUUGCUACAAGGCGUGCUUUGUUGCGAUGAAAAGUCCCAUCAGCAUGCAACUUGCGUUUGAAAAUCCACUUGCACCCAACAACACUCGCAGCAAGAGGAAGAGGCAUUAGAGUCCAAUUGUUAUUAGUUAUAAGCGCAUUAUAUUCAGAUUGCAUUGCUUUAAACUAGUUUGAAUCAGAUAAAGCUUGUUUAUAACCAAGGGGUUCAACAAAUGAUGUACUAACCUGAUAUAUUUUGGGUUUGAACACACCAGCUUUGGAACGAGUCACCAUGGGAUGAUUGUUGAUGAUAGAAUCUGAAGCAGGUGGAGAAGAAAGAGACUCCAUAGAUUCACAAAAUAUAGGUGCAGUGGUGCAAGCAGGAGCAACAGAAUUAUUAUUAUUAGGAGCAGAUGGUAAAGAGGUGGAUGAAGGAAUAACAGUGAGGGGCACAUUAGAAUGAGUAGAAGAUGACAAAUCAGAAUCAAUAGAGAAAGGAUUAUUUGUAAGAGAAAAAGGAAAAACAAUUUCAUUAAAGAUGACAUGGCGUGAGAUAAUUGUCUUACCAGAAGGCAACAAGCAAAGGUACCCUUUAUGAUUGGAAUCAUAUCCCAAAAACAAACAUAUAGAAGCAUGAUAUUCAAAUUUAUGAUGAUUAUACGGUCUAAGCAAAGGAUAACAAGCACAACCAAAGACUUCAAAAAAUUCAUAAGUGGGUUUUUUGUUAAAAAGAACUUCAUAAGGUGUACGAUUGUUAAACACAGAAGAUGGUAAGUGAUUAAUAAUAGUAGUUGCAGUAAGAAAAGCUUCUCCCCAAAACUUAUAAGGCAAAGAGGCAGUUGAUAAUAAGGCUAAACCUGUCUCAACAACAUGUCUAUGUUUUCUUUCAAUUGAGCCAUUUUGCUCAUGUGUGUGAGGACAAGUUAGUCUAUGUUGUAUCCCAUUAUUAUGCAAGGAAGGUGUAAGAGCAAGAAAUUCCUUAGCAUUAUCCGUUUGUAAGCUUUUUAAUAUGCAUCCAGUUUGUUUUUCAGCAAAAAUUUUAAAACGCUGGAAAACUGAAAAAACUUGAGAUUUAGAGGAUAUGAGAUAAAGCCAUGUAAAGCGCGAAUAAGCAUCAAGAAAGGCUAAGUAAUACCGAGAUCCAUUAGAAGAAUAGUAUGGAGAAGGACCCCAUAUAUCAACAAAUACAAGUUCAAGAGGACAAGUAUAAACAGUUUCAAAAUCAUGAAAAGGUAAUUGGUGAUGUUUAGCAAUAGUACAAUUUUCACAAAAAACAGAGUGUUUAAUACAUGGUACGUUGCACAAUUUCAUUACUCUAGUAACAGUGUUAUAGGAAGCAUGACCAAGGCGAUUAUGCCAUAGUUGAAACUUAGAACACACAGAAUUAACACUAAUAUUGCAUACAAAAGGUUUGAGUUUGUGAAUAAAUGGAGGAAACACAUAAAGACCAUCUUUAAGUUUUCCUUGUAGAAUGAUCUGCUUUGUAUCCUGUUGUUUGACAAGGCAGUAAUCAGAAUAGAAUUCAAAGAAGACAUUAUUGUCUUUAGCAAACUUAGAAACACUCAUAAGAUUUUUGGUGAUGUUUGGAACAUGAAGAAGUUGAUGAAGAUGAACGACAAUGUUAUGGUGAGGAGUAAUAUAAGUGGCAGAGCCAAUGUGAGUAAUGGGAGUACCUGAACCAUUACCUAACUUUACAUCCUCGGUGCCAUUAUAAUUGGCUUUGGUGGUAAAAGCAUUGAAGUCACUUGUGAGAUGAUGUGUAGCACCGCUGUCAGGAUACCAGAGAGGAUCGGUGACCGUAGAUGGUGCUCCCAAAAUAGAUGGUUCAGCAGAUUCAUUCGCUGAAGCAAAAAAUUCAGUAGCAUUAGCAUUGAUAGAGGUAUUUGAAUCGGUGUCAUACCUUUGCCAACAACGGAGAGCUGUAUGACCCAUCUUUCCACAGAUUUGGCACUGAGUCUUGAAAUUAGGGUUUCUGUUUGACGCUCCAGAAAUUCGAUUUGACGCUCCAAAGAAGCGAUUUAGGGGUCGUCCACCACGGCGACCACCUCUGUGAGUUUGAUUCAUCCAUGGUUUGUUGUAUGUGGGGUUUGACGGUUGCCAAGAAGCUGUUGAAAGAUGUGCUUGAACAAUACCAGAAUCCAACAAUCGAUGUUUGUCAAAACGCUCCUCUUGAGCAAGCAGAAGAGCCUCAAUGUCUUCCACUGUGUAUGGAUCGAUGCGAGAGGUGACGGAAGUAAUGAAACCAUCAUAUUCGUCAGGUAAGCCGUCCAGAAUAGCUUCGAUUUGAUCAUCGAUAGCAGCAAGUGUAUCCACGAUUUUCUUUUGAUCAAGAAGAUAGGUGGAAAUGGAGCGAUCUUUCUUAGGAUUGCGUAACUGUACCUUGAGUUUCUUAAUUUUGGCUCGAGACUGAGUGGCAUAAUACGUAUGUAGUUUAUUCCAGAUUUGAUACGCUCUGUGAAGACCCACCGUUUUCGUCAAGAUUGGCGUGUCAUGGACGCGAGAAGCCAGGCAACGAGAAGGUGAUCCUGUUGCUGAUGCCGAAGAAAAAGAGGAUUAAGGGUGGGCGAUUUUGAAUUUUCAACAGUGAGAAAUUCUGGGGGUGAUGAAGACUCCUCCAAGAACCGUGAAAGGUUGAGACCAUGUACAGUGACAGUGACUUGUUGCUGCCAGAGAAGAAAGUUAUCAUCAUCCAAUUUCAAUGAAACUGGAGUAGAGAAAGUAUGAGGUGUGAAGGAGGAAACACCAGAAAAUUUUUCAAGAUUGGUACCCGAAGAAGAAGAAGAUGAAGAAGGGGAAGACAUGAUGAAAAAAAAAAGCUCUGUAUACCAUGUGAAGAGAGAGGAAGGUAAAGGGUAAAAGAGUAAAACAGAGUGAGAGUUUGAGAAAAGGGAAAAAGUAUAUCAAAUAUUCAUAUCAAAGAUUACAAUUACAAGUGUAUAUAAAGGAGUUAUAACCAAUAGGUGGUUAUAACAGAAAAGAAUAAAAGGCAGUGAGAUAUAUUAUCCCUUUACAAUGAUAUAGCUUGUAAAUUUCUAAUUUUAUUUAUGAUAGCUUAUACCUUGCGUAUGAAUGUUAGGAUCGUUGUAUUGUUAAUUAUUUAUGUACUUAUGCAUUGUUUAUACCUUUCCCAAAAUGAUAACCUGAAAAAGAUUUAUCUGGGAAUUGUGUUUGUUAUAAUUAGAGAAAUGUAAAUUGUUAUGCAGGGAGAGAAAUCACUAAAACCAGUCAAAUAUUAAAAAAACUAUCUUAUAAUUUCUCCAUUAGCUAAAAUCUUAACCAACAUCGAAAUUAGCUGAAUAUACUUUUUUUUAUAACUAUUCUUGUUCUAAUCCACAUAAUAAAUGUACUUUUUAUAUUUUAAAACAGAUAUAGUGUGAAAUGAAAAAUUAUCAUAACAUAUGCCAAUUUUACAACUGACCAUGCAAAUCUAAAAUAUUAAUAAAAAUGUUGUCUAUAAUAUAAGUUGUACUUGUCUAAAUGGUUAUUUUAUUUGAACAUGUCAAAUGAAUUAUAAUUUAUAAGAAUUAAGUUUUAAACAUUUUUAACAAAGUUAAAAUAAUUUUUAAGAUCAUGGCUAUAUUUGAAAAAAAAAAGAGUUAAAAGUUGAAAAUUGAAAAGUCAUAACUGAAAACUAUAAUGAAACCUAAAAAUGUGAAUUGAAAAAAUUGACAUGUUUAAAUUAUACAUAAAAAAAUAAAAUAAGUGUAACAACGAGAAGUGAAAUUAAAAUUUGUUUCACUUAGUCUUAAAUAAAGGGAUUGACAAAAUUAACAGGAAGCAAACAAAUAAGAUAAACAGAUGAACUGAAGCACAAUUUGAGGAGUAUGAAACAAGGCUAAAAUAAACAUGAAUUUCUUAACCAUAAGCGGACACAAUGAUUAAUUCCAUAACUAAAGGGAUCCUGUUGUUCUCAAAGAAGAUCAAUCACUUACCUGAAGUCACAUUACAAUUUUCUUUAUGAAUCUAGGGAAAGAAUUCACAUAUGGGAUAGACAACUGUGUUCUUGACCACCAAUCCAUGACCAAAACUCAAAAAAAUCUCCACCUUGUCUCCAUAUCCUAAAUUUGACAAUAUACCCUGCCAAUCUAUAUCAUUAAAGGAAAUUACUCUGCCAUGCAUGUGUAUAUGCAAUGUGCACUUUGUGUAGUUAACAAUUAAGACACUUCUAAGACAUUCAGUUGCAUCGAUUUCAGGAGUUGAUGAAUAAACAACACACAAAACCAUUCCCUUCAAGUCACGAUCUAGAGGCACAGUGAAAGAAACACAAUGUUCCUCACCCAUAUGGGCCAACCAAUAAGGAUCAUUGUCGACUGGGAGAUAAACAUCACAUGACUCACUGCCUUCCGAUACCUGUACCAUGUGAUAAAAAGCUUAGACAUUUUUAUACUUUUAGUUAUUCAAAUUAUCUUCUGCAACCAUUAUUUGUCAUCAAAAGUUACAAAAUGUAAUUCAAUUUGUUGUGUUAUAUCAGCAUCAUGUCGUCAGAGAUUUAGAACGCAUAUCUGUGUUCAUCUCUUUCAGUUUAAAUUUCUACAAUCGUUAGGAAUAAAUCAUGAAACUAAUAAAGCAAGAAAGUGGAAAUCAAUUUCCCAGUACUUAGAGACUUCAUUAGGAUUAUUAUGUGUUCUCUUAAUUGCUAAAUUCAGGUGAAGGUGAUAAAACCAAAGGGAAAGCUAGAGAAGAACCUUAGAUACGUUAUGGCUGACAGCAUUGAAGAAUUCAUGGUAUGCUCCAACACCAAUCAAAGAAGACCUGAAGUGCUGCUUUGAAAUUCCUGAUUCUGUAGUUGCAAAAUAUUCCACCAGAAAAUUUUUCAAUUGCUUAGAUAGUUGAAUUUCGGUGUCACAUUGCACCAAAACACUUCGAAGAUUUGCCAGGCUGCUAAGCAAUGGCGCAAUAUCAUCCCAACUAUAAUUAUCCUCCAUAUCCAUGAACGAAUGACUAAGAGAUAUGGGAUUCAUUGUUGGUGACAUCCAAGAACGAAUGAUAGAAGGAAAAAGAUUAGGUGGCAAUCUCUCAAAUCCACGUAGGGAUACAUAUCCAAGGCUUUUUGAUCUUACAAUUGAAAAGGGCACUUGUUCAGCAAUUAGAGUUAUCAAGGAUUCCAUUUGCACUGUAUCUUUUUCCAGUAGGUCAAUCAUCGAACACCCAGAGAGAAUUAGAGUUUUUAAAGAUUUCAACAAAUAUACCUCUGCGGGGAGAUUACUCAGACUUGUACAGUCCUUCAAAUUUAGCAGUGUAAGAUUGGACAGACAUCCAAUAGAUUGGUGUACUUUGCGCAAUCUUGGACAAUCUUUCAGAAUGAGCUGUUCAAGACUUGGUAGUCCGGAAAAGUCAGGGGUUUUUGUUAAAUACUUGGAGUGACUAAGAUUAAGGACUUUCAGCCACCUCAAAACCUACACCGUCACAGUUUUUUUUUUUACAAGUGUCAGAGAAGAAAAUCAAAAUGAAACAGCAGUACGUUACAUUUUUUGUUGUUUUAGUUAGCUUUGUGUUUUAAUAGAAAAUGGCAAAGUAAUAAAAACCUGAGGUUCUUUCAAAAGUAGUCGAACAUGAUUGUGUUUUAAGUGAAUCACUAUUGCAUCAUGCAGAUGAAAGUCGUUAGGUGGGUAUUCUGAAGACCCUUGCAAACUGAACCAUCUCAGUUUCCUAGAAGUGUACUCAGAACUUCCAGCGAGUUUCAGCAGGAGUCUUGAUUGUUCUCUUCUGGCUGAACGCAGUUUCACAGGCACUGCCCGAGAGUUUCUGCCCUGUGAUGAAAAGAGUAAAGAAAAACAAAAUUACUGAAAAUGAGAAAGCAAAGCAAACACUUGCAAGAGAAGUUUUAGAAACCAUAUAUAAAGAAUGUUCUUACUGAAUUAUCUGUCAAUACAUAUUCUGCAUCAUCAAACUGCAGUCUGCUCUCCAUCCAAAAUUCCUCUCUUGAAAUCUCACGAAUAAUUUCUCUUCCCAUUUCUUGUAGCAAAGAAUGCAUUCCAAGUUUGUUGUUCUUUAUAACUUUUAUGAGGUUACUUUCUAUCAGAGCUCUUAUUCCAGUAUCAGCAUCUACUCCACAGCCAUUUAGAAUCUUGGUAGCAUAGGCUCUGCCCUCACCAACGAAGGAACAACAUACAUCAAGGAAUAAAUCUUUUUCCAUUUCAUUGCGUAAACCAUCGAAGCUUAUUUUCAAUUUCUGUCGAAUGUGGUGCAUGGGAAUUAUCUCUAAUUUUAACAAAACACUAUUCCAUUCUUCUUUUGUCCUUUCAAAUAAACAAUUUCCAAUGACUUCAAGAGCUAGAGGUAGUCCUCCACAAUGACUAACUACACUUUUUGCAAGGUAAUUGUAUUCUUCUUUUGGUUUUGCUUCUCCAAAUGCAUGCCAACUAAGAAGCUCAAGGGACUCGUCUGCGUUCAUUAGCUUUAAUGGAAAAACAGAAUCAACUUGAAGAAUCCUUGGUAGGUCUUGAUCUCUUGUUGUAAUGAUUAUUACAGUUUUUGCACUGAACCAUUCACGCCAUUCCAAUACUAAUGAUGCAUGAAACUUAGAUACAUCGUCAAGUACAAUGAGCACCCUUUUCCCAGAAAGUCUUUCCCGAAUCAUUUUUCUCCCCAUCUUACCACUAGGUGUCUUCAUCUUUGUUUUUAGGACAUCUAAAAAAAGUUGUUUUUCUAAACGAAGAUAUGCUCUUGUUCCACUACUAAGUUGUAUAAUAUCUUCAAAGAAACUUUUCUCCAUGAAUGUACCUUGAAUUUGAUUGUAGAUGGCUUUGGCAAGGGUGGUUUUACCCGAUCCUCCCAUUCCACAUAUAGCUAUCGUAAAAACUUGCGUGGAUUUAUUUUUGAUAAUUCGAAUCACAUCUUCCACACGGGAUUGUAAUCCAACUGGGAAUUUAGUAGCGGACAAAACUGGUAAAUGAAGAACGGUCUUAAAAAUUUGGUGGACUAGUUCAGCAUCACUCCUUCAAGUUCAAUAACAAUCAUGGAAGAAGUCAUGUCAUGUGGUACUAUAAUUAAAUCAGAAAGCUUAAAAUAUGGUGAUUGAGUGAGUGAUUUACCUGUAAUUGCUCUCAUCCCAUCCAAAUAAAUUUGCAGCUUUGGUGAGUGCGUGGCUCCACCUGGACAUGCCAUGCUCCAGUUCUUGUUCUGAGAAUGCUUGCUCUGCAGUUGCUUUGAAGGCUUUACCAAAAUCACCCAUCUGAAGUCGUACAUCAGAUGGCUGAAUUUCGUAAUACACGGGCAGAACAUGUCUGCAAUAAGUUUGGUGCCAUUUGAUGAUUUGUUGAAGCUGAUGAAGACACCACUCAGAUUGAGAGUAGGCUGUGGUGAAAACAACAAUGGCUACACGAGAGUGAUUGAGAAUAGGUUGUUGGAAGUGAAUUGGGUUGAGUGCAUUGGGGUGGUGAAGGAAAGUGGUGAAGCCAACAGCAGAGAGGGCAGAAUCGAGAUGAGAAACAAAUUUCCUUUGGAUGUCUUCUCCAUUAAAGUUUAUGAGCACAUCGUACUUCCUUGGGAGUUUGGAUGAUGAAGAAGCGAAUUCCAUGGAAGGAAUUGAUGAAGUCAUCAACUGAUAGAAGAAGAGGAUCAAUGCAACACAGUGAGUCAAAGAAAUGAUAUGAACAGACACAAAACCAUUCAAAGUAUUUUUUAAUAGUGGAGGAAGCGCGUUAACACCAUCAAUGUACCAUCAAUGAAACUUUUUUUACUUUAGCCAGUGAAGAAAUUAGACCAACGCCCACUCUGAAUCACAAACAAAAUAUAUUAGACUAAUAACUACGAAAAAGCUUAUAACAUCAUCAUCUAUAGAAAAAUAUAGAAAAGAUUUAAGGGUAAAAUAGUAAAAUUACAUAGGAGCUAAAGGGUAAAAGCAAUAUGUUCAUUAGAAAAAACUUUAAUAAAGAUUUGAGCCUCUAUUGUGUGUUUCAAAAAGAAGAAGAGAGGAAACUUGAUGGCUCCCUAGAGUGUAAGAGUUGCAGCGAUCGGAGAAGAAGUAGAAGGAAUAGCAAGUAACAAGAUAAAAAGAAACUCUGUUUUUACUUUUGUUAUUGUAUAUCACACUUAUAAUAAAGAGAUGUUUCCCUUUUUAUAGGCUUUUACAAAAACUAAAAUAAUAAACUUAUAUGAGUGGAUAUGUGUAUUACUUUCUCAAUAUCCUCCCCUCAAGCUGGAUGAUGUAUAUUCAUCAUAUCAAGGUUGUUCACAAAAUUUUGGAAGGGAAUCCAUUGUAGGGUUUUUGUAAACAUGUCUACUAGUUGAUCAGAAGAUUGAAUAUGUAGGAGAUGCAGGAAUUUGUCUUGUAUUUUCUCACGAAUCACAUGGCAUUCAAUGUCAAUGUGUUUCGUUCUUUCAUGAAAGUUAGGAUUAUGAGCUAUGUGGGGAGUCGAUUGAUUAUCACAAUAGAGAGUAACAGGAUCAGGUGUUUGUACAAAGUAUAUAGUUGAUAUCCAUUGUAGUUCACGAGCAAAAGCCGCGAGUGCUCUGUAUUUUGCUUCAAAAGAAGACCUAGAAAUAGUGUGUUGUUUAUUUGUUUUCCAGAAAUUAAGAGUAGUCUAGGAAAAUGCAAUACUCAGUGGUAGAAUGUCUUGUGUUAGAACAAGAUGCCCAAUCUGAGUCACUAAAGGCCUUAAUGUGAACUUCAGAUUCUCGUUAAAAAAUAACUCAUGCGUAGGAUUAGCUUUGAUGUAGCGUAGAAUAUCUUGCACAUCUUGUUGAUAAUAAACUGUAGGUUCUUGAACAAAUUGGCUAAGGAGUUGGAUAACAAAGGUUAUAUCAGGUUUAGUGUUGGUGAGAUAUAGGAGUUUUCCAAUUAGUAUUCUAUAAGGAUUGGGAUUUUGAAGUUUAUAUAUAGUUUCAAAAAAAACUUUAGUGUUAGACAUAAGAGGAGUAAAACAAGGUUUACUUCCUAGCAUUCCAGUUUCUUCCAAAAUGUCAACGGCGUAUUUCCUUUGACAUAAAUGAAUUCUUUUCUUAGAUCUUUCGACUUCAACACCCAAGAAGUAUUUUAGUUCACCAAGAUCUUUUAUCUUAAAAGAAUCAUUUAGGAAGUAUUUAAUUCUUUCAAUUUCUUGUAAUGAAUCUCUUGCAAGGAUAAUAUCAUUUACAUAAACAAGUGAAACAAUGAGAGAUUUUUUAGUUUUUAAAAAAUAGAAUAAUCAGACAUAGAUUGAGAAAAACCAAAAGAAAUAAGGGAAGAAGAUAGCUUAGCAAACCACUGUUUGUUGGCCUAUUUUAAACCACAAAGAGACUUUGUAAGUAUGCAAAAGUGAUAUUUUCAUUGACCAGAAAAUCUAGUAAAAGACACUAGUACAAAUUGUUAAUAUGACACUAUAUAAAGUUGAUUAUAAUAACACCAUCGUUAAAAAAUGUGUGGUGGCAAUGUGAUAAUUAUUUUGUAGUUUUAUAACGACAAUUCCCUAGUGAAUCGUCGCUAUAUUUGCAAAAUGUGAAAAAUAACGACGGUUUCCUAUGCGAACCGUCAUUAUAUAUGCAUCGAAGUCAAAAAAUUACGACGAUCUACGUGUGAACUAUCGUUAUUUUGGUAUUUAUUUUUCCUACACUCACAACUUAACAUAUUUAUUCACUCUUCAUUGUCCCGCUACCUACUUCGUUCUUUGUCUUCACUAUUUUCUUCACUGCCAUCUACUUCCAGCCAAAGGUCCCCUGCCCACGCUGCUUACGUCCUUCUCGUGCCACCGCCACCACCGCUUUCAUCUUGGUCGCACCAUCAUCGUUUCGUCUUCUCCCAUUUCCCGCUCCUCUCUACCGCCAUUAUUGGCACAAGUCCUUCUUGUGACUACCAGCACCGCUUACGAACCUCUCCUCCAUGGGUCAAACCCCCGCGUACACAUCUCUCCUUUGCACGCUGCCAACACCUCCACCACACACACACGCUGCCAUGACUAGUGCACGGUGCCUCCCUAAACCUAAAUUUUUUAAUUAAUUUUAUAAUAAAUAUUUGGAUGUACAUGUUGAUUAGUUAGUAUUAGGGUUUUUGGGAACUUCAUUUACUUGAUAUUUGAGGGAGGAGUCCUAACAUUGAAGAAAAGAGUGAUAAAUUUGCAAUUGGCAAAAAUUAGCAUGAAAAAACUUUAAACGUUCAUAACUUUUGAUAGAGAAGACGAAUGGAGUUGCGUAGACCCUAAACCAUAAACUCUAAACCCAAAUCCCAAAUCAUAAACCCUAAACCCUAAACCUAUAAAAUGUACAAUUCUAAAAGAAAGUCACAUCAGGUUUGCACCCACUUAUAUACUAUGAAAUGUCCUAAUCUUUAGUCAAUGUGGGAUCUCCAACACACCCGUUCACGUCGAGGCUACCAACUCGUGUGUAGGACUAUAUAUUAUGGGUGGUCUGAUAACGGCUAAAUAACGGGUGGCUUGAUAAGCCCAACAAACAAUCGCUAGGAUAGACUCGAAAUGACUUUAAUACCAUAUUGAAAAAGAUAGAAAAGAUUUAAGGGUAAAGUAGUAAAAUGAAAAAGGUGCAAAAGGGUAAAAGCAUAUGUGCAUUAGAAAAAACUUAAACAAAGAUUUGAGCCUCCACUUUGUGUGUGUCCUGUAUUUUCUCACGAAUCACAUGACAUUCAAUGUCAUUGUGUUUCAUUCUUCCAUGAAAGCUGGGAUUAUGAGCUAUGUGGGGAGCCAAUUGAUUACAAUAGAGAGUAGCUGGAUCAGGUGUUUUUACAAAGUAUAUAGUUGAUCCAUUGUAGUUCACAAGAAGUAGCCGCGAGUGCUCUGUAUUCUGCUUUAGAAGAAGACCGAGAAAUAGUAUGUUGUUUCUUUGUUUUCCAGGAAAUAAGGGAAUAGCCCAGGAAAAUGCAAUAGUCAGUAGUAGAAUGUCUUGUGUUAGAACAAGAUGUCCAAUCUAAAUCACUAAAAGGCUUAAUGUGAACUUCAGAUUCAAUGUUAAAAAAUAAUUCAUGUGUAGGAUUAGCUUUGACGUAGAAUAUUACCAAAAUUAAAUCAGAAAGCUUAAGUUUGGUGAUUGAGUGAGUGACGUACAUCAGAUGGCUCAAUUUCGUAAUAAACGGGCAGAUGAUGUUGGCUAUAAGUUUGGUGCCAUUUGAUGAUUUGGUGAAGCUGAAGAAGACACCAAGCAGAUUGAGAAUAGGAGUUGGUGAAAACAACAAUUGCUACACGACAAAGAUUGAGAAUAGGUUGUUGGAUGUGAAUUGGGUUGAGUGCAUUAGGGUGGUGAGGCCAACAGCAGAGAGGGCAGAAUCGAGAUGAGACACAAAUUUCCUUUGGAUUUCUUCUCCAUUAAAGUUUAUGACCACAUCGUACAUCAAAGUAACUGCAGAGAGAGAGCAUUUAUAUUUGAAUAGAUUCGUAAACAUUUGUCUUCUAUAACAUUUUUAAUUUUAUUUUAUACGGAUUCCACAGUACCACAUUACUUUUAAUAUUUUGUAUAAAAAAUUUGGAAGAGUUUUAUAAGUCACACUUUCAUUAUUUUUUUUUGACAAAAAAUAUAUAUAUUCAAAAUAGAAAAAUAAUAAUUUUUAUUUUUGUAACUUAGGAUAUUAUCUUUUUAUGCCGCAUCGAUAUAUUUGAGUGAGUCUUAUAAGAUUUAAAUCUUAAUUAUAUAAUUUGAUAUAUGAGCUUUGGAAUGAAGAUACCUUAAAGUUAAAUAAGUAAUUAAAAUUUUAGCAAUAUAGGAUAUGGUUUUUGAAAAUGAUAUUUGGAUAAAGUUGGCCAGAUUAAAGAAAUUAUUUUGAAGAUUUUGAUAAUAUAUAAAUAGAUUGAAAUGAGUACAGUCUUUAAAGUAUUUCAAUAAUAAAAAGAUUGAAAGAUAAGUUGUAAAGUACGAUCGAGUAGUUGAUCAUUAUCAAUAAUCAAAACUAUCUGAAAUCCUACUUUAUAACUCUUUGUAUCAUAAAUUAUCAUGACUUGUCAAACCGAUGCAUUGCAUUUGUAUUGAGGUUCUUAUUUGACUCUAACAAAUAAGAUAAACAGCUGAAGUGAAGAACAAUUUGAGGAGUGAGAAACAAGGCUAAAAUAAACAUGAAUUUCUUAACAAUAAGCUAUACUGGAAAAGACGAAAAAAGAUGAAGUGGAAGCAAGGAAACAAUGAUUAAUUCCAUAACUGGAUCCUGCUGUUCUCAAAAGAAGAUAAAUGACUUACCUGAAGUCACAUAACAUUACAAUUUUCUUUAUGAAUCUAAGGAGACAAUUUUCCUUUGGCUUUGAUUCACCACAUAUGGGAUAGACAACUGUGUUCUCGACAACCAAUCCAUGACCAAAACUCAAAAAAAUCUCCACCUUGUCUCCAUAUCCUAAAUUUGACGAUAUACCCUGCCAAUCUAUAUAAUUAAAUGAAAUUACUGUGCCAUGGUUGUGUAUAUGCAAUGUGCACUUUGUGUAGUUAACAAUUAAGACAUUUCUAAGACAUUCAGUUGCGUCUAUUUCAGGGGUUGAUGAAUAAACAACACACAAAACCAUUCCCUUCAAGUCCCGAUCUAAAGGCACAGUGAAAGAAACAGAAUGUUCCUCACCCAUAUGGCCCAACCAAUAAGGAUCAUUGUCAACUGGGAGACAAACAUCACAUGACUCACUGCUUACUGUUACCUGUACCAUAUGAUAAAAAGCUUAGACAUUUUUAUAAUUUUUGCUAUUCAAAUUAUCUUCUGCAACCAUUAUUUGUCAUAAAAAAUUACAAAAAUAUAAUACAAUUUGUUGUGUUAUAUCAGCAUCAUGUCGUCAGGGAUUUAGAAUGCAUAUCUGUGUUCAUCUCUUUCAGUUUAUAUUUCUACAAUCGUUAGGAAUAAAUCAUGAAACUAAUAAAGCAAGAAAGUCGAAAUCAAUUUCCCUGUACUUAGAUAUUCAUUAGGAUUAUUUUGUGUUCUCUUAAUUGCUAAAGUCAGGGUGAAGGUGAUAAACCAAAGGGAAAGCUAGAGAAGAACCUUAGAGACGUUAUGGCUGACAGCAUUGAAGAAUUCAUGGUAUGCUCCAACACCAAUCAAAGAAGACCUGAAGUGCUGCUUUGAAAUUCCUGAUUCUGUAUUAGUUGCAAAAUAUUCUACCAAAAUAUUUUUCAAUUGCUUAGACAGUUGAAACUCGGUGUCACAUUGCACCAAAACACUUCGAAGAUUUGCCAGGCUGCUAAGCAAUGGCGUCAUAUCAUCCCAACUAUUAUCCUCCAUAUCCAUGCAAAACGAAUUAAUAUAAGAUAUGGAAAUCGUUGUUGGGGACAUCCAAGACCGAAUGAUAGAAGGAAAAAGAUUACGUGGCAAUCUCUCAAAUCCACGUAGGGAUAUAUAUCCAAUGCUUUUUUAUCUCACAAUUGAAAAGGGAACUUGUUUAACAGCAGUGUUUUCAGCAAUUAGAGUUAUCAAGGAUUUCAUUUGCACUGUAUCUUUUUCCAAUAGGUCAAUCAUAGAACACCCAGAGAGAAUGAGUGUUUUUAAAGAUUUCAACAUAUAUACCUCUGCGGGGAGAUUGCUCAAACUUGUACAGUCCUUCAAAUUUAGCAGUGUAAGAUUGGACAGACAUCCAAUAGAUUGGUGUACUUCUUGCAAUCCUGGACAAUCUUUGAGAAUGAGCUGUUCAAGACUUGAUAAUCCGGAAAAGUUAGGGGUUUCUAUUAAAUACUUGGAGUGACUAAGAUUAAGGACUUUGAGCCACCUCAAAACCUACACCGGGACAGUUUUUUUUACAAGUAUCAGAGAAGAAAAUCAAAAUGAAACAGCAGUAGGUUACUGUUUUUGUUUUAGUUAGCUUUGUGUUUUAAUAAAAAAUGGCACUUAAUAAAAAAACCUGAGGUUCUUUCAAGAGGAGUCGAAGAUCAUUGUGUUUUAUGUCAAUCGCUAUUGCAUCAUGCAGAUGCAAGCCGUCACGUGGGUAUUCUGAAUAAGACCGUUGCAAACUGAUCCAUCUCAGUUUCCUAGAAAUGUACUCAGAAUUUCCAUCGAGUUUCAGCAGUCUUGAUGGUUCUCUUCUGGCUGAACGCAGUUUCACAGGCAAUUCCCAACGGUCCUGUGAUAAAAAGAGCAAAGAAUAACAAAUGUACUGAAAAUGAGAAAGCAAACACUUCCAAGAGAAGUUUUAAAAGGCAUAUAUAAAGAAUGUUCUUACUGAGUUAUCUGUCAAUACAUAUUCUGCAUCAUCAAACUGCAGUCUCCUCCUCUCCAUCCAAAACUCUUCUUCUGAAAUUUCACUAAUAAUUUCUCUUCCCAUUUCUUGUAGCAAAGGAUGCAUUCCAAGUUUGUCGUUCUUUUUAAUUUUUAUGAGGCUACUUUCUAUCAGAACUCUUAUUCCAGUAUCAGCAUCUACUCCACAGCCAUUUAGAAUCUUGGUAACAUAGGAUCUGCCCUUACCAACGAAGAAACAACAUAUAUCAAGGAAUAAAUCUUUUUCCAUUUCAUUGCGUAAACCAUCGAAGCUUAUUUUCAAUUUCCGUUGAAUGUCGUGCAGGGGAAUUUUCUCUAAUUUUAACAAAACACUAUUCCAUUCUUCUUUUGUCCUUUCAUAUAAACAAUUUCCAAUGACUUCAAGAGCUAGAGGUAGUCCUCCACAAUGACUAACUACACUUUUUGCAAGGUAAUUGUAUUCUUCUUUUGGUUUUGCUUCUCCAAAUGCAUGCCAACUAAGAAGCUCGAGAGACUCGUCUUCGUCCAUUAGCUUUAACCGAAAAACAGAAUCAACUUGAAGAAUCCUCGGUAGGUCUACAUCUCUUGUUGUAAUGAUUAUUACAGUUCCUCCACUGAACCAUUCAACGCAUUUCCAUACUAGUGAUGCAUCAAACUCAGGCACAUCGUCAAGUACAAUAAGCACCCUUUUCCCAGAAAGUCUUUCCCGAAUCAUUCUUCGCUCCAUCUCAUUGCUAGGUAUUUCAACCUUUGUUUUUAGGACAUCUAAAAGAAGUUGUUCAUCUAAACGAAUAUUCGAUCUUGUUUCACUAAGAUGUGCAAUAUCUUCAAUGAAACUUUUCUCCGUGAAUGUAGCACUAAGUUGAUUGUAGAUUGCUUUGGCAAGGGUGGUUUUACCAGAUCCCCCCGCUCCAGUUAUCCCUAUCGUAUAAACUUCGGUGUUAUUUUGGAUAGUUCCAAUCAGAUAUUGCACGUGAGACUGUAAUCCAACUGGGAAUUGAGAUGGUUGAAUUUCGUAAUAAACGGGCAGAACAUGUCUGCAAUAAGUUUGGUGCCAUUUGAUGAUUUGUUGAAGCUGAUGAAGACACCAAGCAGAUUGAGAAUAGGCUGUGGUGAAAACAACAAUGGCUACACGAGAGUGAUUGAGAAUAGGUUGUUGGAAGUGAAGUGGGUUGUGUGCAUUGGGGUGGUGAAGGAAAGUGGUGAAGCCAACAGCAGAGAGGGCAGAAUCGAGAUGAGAAACAAAUUUCCUUUGGAUUUCUUCUCCAUUGAAGUUGAUGAGCACAUCGUACUUCCUUGGGAGUUUGGAUGAUGAAGAAGCGAAUUCCAUGGAAGAAAUUGAUGACGUCAUCAACUGAUAGAAGAAGAGGAUCAAUAAUGCAACACAGAACCUUUUUUACUUCAGCCAGUGAAGAAAUUAGCCAACGCCCACUUUGAAUCCCUAAAAUAUAUAUUAUACUAAUAAUUACGAAAGUUUGUCUAUUUU
rnacentral:lncRNA from 1 species